rnacentral:rRNA from 1 species
UACAGAGGUGGCAAGCGUUGUUCGGAAUUACUGGGCGUAAAGGGCGCGUAGGCGGCCAUCUAAGUCAGACGUGAAAUCCCCCGGCUUAACCUGGGAACUGCGUCUGAUACUGGAAGGCUUGAGUAUGGGAGAGGGAUGUAGAAUUCCAGGUGUAGCGGUGAAAUGCGUAGAUAUCUGGAGGAAUACCGGUGGCGAAGGCGGCAUCCUGGGAC